GAAAAACUAACAUCUACACACUGUUUGGUUGCCCAUGUCUAGGCCUCUCGCAUUAAGGGAACAAUCUUGGCAUAGCGUUUGGUUGCCUAUGUUUGCAUGGCUCAUGCAACUAGAUGGUACUCCCUCCGUUCCUAAAUAUAAGAUCUUUUAGAGAUUGUAUUAUAAACUACAUACAGAUGUACAUAGACAUAUUUUAGAGUAUAGAUUUAUUCAUUUUCCUCCGUAUGUAGUCUUCUAGUGAAAUCCCUAAAAGGUCUUAUAUUUUGGAACGGAGGGAGUAUAAGUCUUUUUGAAGGUUCCACUCUAAAAUUACAUAUAGAUGUAUAUAGACAUACUUUAAAGUAACAUUCACUCAUUUUAUUCCGUAUGUAGUCAACUAAUGAAAUCUCUUAAAAGACUUAUAUUUAGGAACCGAGGGAGUAUUUAGUUGUAUACACGGGAUAUGAGUAACAACUAACACUUGCACUAUACAGACACAACUACACCUUGUCUCCCGACUAUGGUGCACGGUGACCGUAGCGUCGCCUCCGACAAGCCGAGCAAGGAUUCCCGGACGGCGCGCCGAACUAGUUGCUAACGUCGUUGCCAUACAGAAAGUCCGUGCGGAGGAGCGUUGAGGCAGAAGAUAGGGGUGGAGAAAUGCAGUGUGUGUCAGACCAUGGCAACUGUUGUGGAUGAUGACUGCGGUGCCGCGCCCAACAUGACGAGUACGGAGACUCACGCAAGCAUUCCUAUCAACGCUGAGGCGAACUAAUUGCUAGCGUCGCCGCCGCAGAGAAAGUACGUACGGAGGAGCACCGAGGCAGAGGACGAGGAAGGAGAAAUGCAGAGCGUGUUGGACCAUGAUAACUAUGGUGGACGAUGGUCAUGGUGCCGCGUUCGACACGACGUGCACGAGCGACCCCAUUGGCGGCGGGCGAACUUGUUGGUAUCUCGUUACCGCAGAUAAAGUUCGCAUGAAGAAAAUGGACAGAGGAAUAGAAAUGCAGUGCUUGUGCAAUGGUAGCUUCAGUGCAGUAGGACGAGAAAGGAUGCCAAGAUGACCAACGUAAAAAACGACUCCUUUGUAGUAAGAUGCGGGCAAGGGGGUAAAGAGAAACAACGCCGUCAGCUAAAGGGGUGAAUAGGAGGGUUCUGAGACAGAUGACACAAGAGAAAAAACACAGUGUGUGCGUCAUGGUGACGCUAGUGUAGUAGGACGAGAGAGAGGAGGCCAAGUGUAGUAGGAGGUCCAGAGGAACGGUGCGUACGACGAAAGGAAUGAAUAGGAGGGUUCUGAGGCACGGGACACAGGAGAAAAAAUACAGUGUGCGUGUCAUGACGGCGUCAUAGGACCUUGAAACAUAAAACUUACAACACGAAUGUCUUGUGGAACUGCGUUAUGAAGCUGCCGGUCAAAGAAAAUUUUAAAUGGUCGACCAUGCACGGAAAAUUUGAAAAAAUCCUUCCAAAAUAGCUUCAAACGUGAACACAAAAUUGAGAAUUUAAGGUCGACAAAAAUGAAACCACAACAUCGAUGUGCAUGUUUUUAUCUCGAGCUUAUCACAAAUAGAUUAGAGGGAAGAAGGAAGAAAGAAGGUUAGGAACAAGCUUAGUGUCGGUAGAAAAAGAAGCACGAACACAGCUUGCAUCCCUCCAACCUCCUCUCGUGCAAGGGGCCUAUUCAUGUGCAUUCGUUGUGCAUUGCUCGGACUAGCUCUCUAGAAACUGCUUAUUCACACGUAGUUGCGUGCCCUGGCUUGGAGAUGCUUUAAAGUUCGUGCCAUGCAGGUGUACGCGGGCAGCCAAUCAGUCCGUUUCCUUUCCGCGAGGAUCUAAUUGAGCCUUAUGCGAGCAACCAAACAAGCCUCUACUGCUUUAACAGAUGAGAUCAAGUAUGAUAUGAUUUUAUCAAAGAUUUCUCGUGUUUUAUCACUCUUGUGUAUCAUCAUGGGAUUGAUAUUAUGGACUAGAGAUAGUAUACCAGGUUGUUGUUUUAAAUAUGUUUUCUAGCGUUCUGUUUAAAGAUGUAUAUUUUCUUGAAAUAUGUAUAUGCAUUGUGUCCCAAACAUGUGAUGCCUACUGGCUUGCAUACAAUAGCUUGCACAAGCGGAGGGGGACGUUUGGCUCUCGGG
rnacentral:lncRNA from 1 species